CUCACCGAUACGAAAUAUGCCUUCUCAAUCAGCUCUACCACCUCUGUAGAUGUAGGUGAAUAGAGGGGAAAGGAAGGCAAGAAGAAAUUAUCUCAUGAGCGUUACCUCAUACCUUCCAAUGACAAUUCAGUGGUCUUGGUGGGUAACUGCGCGAGUGAGACAUCU
rnacentral:snoRNA from 1 species